CAUAAUUCUUCAGUUACUACACAGCUUGGACCCAAAGGCAGCCAGAAACACAGAAGUAUGCUCUGAAGGAGCCAAGAGAAACCCUCCCUUUCUGACUGAAGAGUGGGAAAGAGGGCUCCUGAAGAUCAGAGGAUGCAGUCACAGGAAGUGUACAGCAGAAGGAAGAAACUAAAGUCUCAGCUCUUUAGAUGAAGGACUGGGAAGGGAGGCUCCAAGGAGCCAGAAAGUGUCAAGGACUCUAUAAAAAGUAGCAAGAUGAAGAGUGUGAUCCCACAGUUGUUUGAAUUAUUCAAGUUACCUCUGAGCUGUACAUACAAUGGGUCUGACCCUAUAUAUAUAGCACAAGUUCUGAGAAGUGAGCUACCGGGAAGAACUAUUGUCCAGGUCUAAUUUACCACUGAGUAAUACACAUGCAGCAGUGAUCCAAGUAGUGCUGCAAUCACUUAGAAACUGAACUGAUACUGGAACCAUAGGUCAUGGAAGCACAUCAAAACAUGCAGCCUGAACCUAACUUGGCUGACUAUUAUCCUUAGUUACCCAGAGAUUCAUACACAAUAUCUGAAAAGUCAAAGAUGAAAUCCAAAAUUAUUUAGCAUACAAAGAACUAAGAAAAUUUCAACUCCACAAUCAACAAAAACCAAUCAUGACGUGACACAAAUUUUAGAAUAACCAGAGAAAGAUGUUAAGGCAGCUAUUAUAACCAGACACUAAAGGUGAACAUUUCUGAAGCAAAUGGAAAGAUAGUUUCAGAAAAGGAAUAUAAAGAAAGAUCAAAUGGCAAUUUUAGGAAUAAAAAAUACAAAAAUAAAAAAUUCACUGGAUGAACUCAGAAUGGAGAUAAAAGGGGUCAGUGAACUUGAGAUAGGUCAAUAGAAACCAUCCAAUAUGAACAGAAGAGGGGUUAAAAAAAAUAACUGAGGAGAGGCCUUGGGAUCUGUGAGACAAUACCAAACCGUCUAAUAUCAUUGGAGUCUGAGUCAGAGAGGAGAAAGGAGGUGGAAUAGCAAAAAUAUGAAUAGCUGAAAAUUUUAUGUAGUUGUGGAAAGAUAUGUACUUAUACAUUCAAGAACCUCAGAAAACCCCAAAUGAAAAAUUCAAAGAAAGCUCACCCAAACAUAUCAUAAUCAAAUUAAUAAAAAGGACAAAGAUUCCUGAAAGCAGCCAGAGAAAAUGUUUCAUAGGAUGAAAAAAUUAUUUGAAUGGCUGCAUAUUUCUCAUCAAAAGUCACGGAGGUCAGAAGGAAGUGGGAAUUUUUAAUGUGUUGUAAGAAAAGAAAUGUCAACCUAGAAUUUUAUAUCCUCUAAAAAUAUCUUUCAUGUAUUAAAGUAAAAUAAAGACAUUUUCAUAUGAAUGCAAACUAUGAGAAUUAGAAAUCAGCAGAUCAGCUCUAAAAGACAUGUUAAAAGUAGUUUUCCAGGUGGGAAGGAUAUGAUACCAAUGGAAACUCAGAACAGCAGGUGUUAAGAAAGAGCAACAGAAAUAACAAAUAUCCAGAUAUAUGUAAUGGACUGUUUUCCUCUUGAGCUCUUAAAAAUAUGUACAAUAGUCAUAAACAAAAUAUACUAUAUCAUCCAAAGGGGUUUUAUAAUUUAUAAGACAACUAUAAAGGGAUGUAAAUGGUGAUAAGAUACCUACAUUCCACUUGAAUUGGUAAAAUACUGAUUUUAAGUAUACUGUAAAAGUUUAAGUACAUUUAGGGUAAUCCCUUAAAAAAAGUAAAAAACUAGACAAAGAGAUACAGUAAAAAAACCACAACAGAUAAAAUACUAAAAAAAAUGCUCAAGAAAUCCAAAAGAGGGCAGGAAAAGAGAAAUGGAAAAAUGUAGAAGAGAAAUCAUACAGAAAAUAAUAAAAUGGCAGUUCUAAUCCAAUAUAUAAAUGCACAUAGUCUAAAUAAACCAAGUAAAAUAUUGAGAUUAUCAGAAAAAUUAAGGCGUGGAUCACUAUAUGCUCUCCAUAAGAAAGUCAUUUCUAAUGUAAUGACAAAGAUAGGUUAAAAGUAAAAUGACAGAUGGGAUGCCUGGGUGGCUCAGCUGGGUCAACCAGCUGCCUUCCGCUGAGGUGAAGUGAGUCUGCCUCUCUCUCUCCUUUUGCCCUGCUCCCUGCUUGUGCUUUCUCAAAUAAAUAAAUAAAAUCUUAAAAAAAUAAAAUAGAAAAGACUUACCAUACAAAAACUAAUCAAAAGAAAAUAAUCCUAGAUAUUUAUGUACCAAACAACAGAGCUUCAAAAACCAACAGUCCUAAAAAAGGAAGAAUAGAUCCAUUAUCAAAGCUGGAGAUUUCAACAUUGCUUUUUCAGUAAUGACACCAGUAGAAAAUCAGCAAAGACAGAACUGAACAAUACCAGGAGAAUCCAAACUCUUUUCAAGUAUACAUGGAACACUUGGCAAACAGACCAGAUCUUAUCUCCUAACAAACUCUAACAUUUUAAAAGAACUGAAAUCAUACAAAAUAUGUUUUGAUGAUGAAUCUGAAAAUCAACAACUGCAAAAUAACUAGAAAAGCCUCCAAAAGUUUAGAAAUGGAAGAAAUAUCAAACAAUAUUAGAAACAAUUCUGAAUUGAACAAUAAAAAUUUAACAAUA